GUUCAUCAAAUUCUAGAGUCGAUGCAUUGCCCCACUGACAUCAGAGCCACCAUAUAGGGUAUUAUGAAGGGAUUAUUCUAAGGUGGAGUCAUGCCCUGAAGUCUAAGGUAUGUACGGUGAUUGUGCAACAUUCAACAGGUUCAAUGAAAGAUAGUCUGAAUCCAGGAAUAA
rnacentral:lncRNA from 11 species